GGAGCUGUAGCUUGAUGGGAAAGCAUCUGCUUUGCAUGCAGAAUGUCUGAGGUUCAAUCCUUGGCAUCUCUG